CACGUAGGGCGCAAGCGUUUGUCCGGAAUUAUUGGGCGUAAAGCGCGUGUAGGCGGUCCGGUAAGUCCGCUGUGAAAGUCGGGGGCUCAACCCCUCGGAUGCCGGUGGAUACUGUCGGGCUUGAGUACGGAAGAGGCGAGUGGAAUUCCUGGUGUAGCGGUGAAAUGCGCAGAUAUCAGGAGGAACACCAAUUGCGAAGGCAGCUCCGCUGGGACGUUACUGACGCUGAGACGCGAAAGCGUGGGGAGCAAACAGG
rnacentral:rRNA from 1 species